AAAAUCCUUUCCUUUACCAACAAGCUCAAGUAUAUUCCUGACUUUCUCCUUUAUAGGAUUCAGGUUAUCAGGUCUUAGGCUGAGGUCCUAAAUCCAUUUAGAAUUUGGUUUUGUGCAAGGUUUUAUCAUUAGAACUGUGCUGUUCAAUCUGCGCCUUCCAGGAUUACGGCCUACACUCGGCUCUGACAAGCUACAAUUAUUUUCUUUAAAAAAAAAAAAAAAAAAAAAGGACAGCGCCUGUGGGGUUUUCUUCUGAUUACAAGGGACAACAUAUUUUUUGUCAAUAAACCUACUUUUCUUUCUGUGA